UGGGCUGUUGGAAGCGUGGGCCUGCUGCCGGACAGGCUUGCUGGACUACUGCGCUAGGCUUGCUGUGGGUGCUAGAUUGGGCUGCAGUUUUGGGCCUGAUCUGCUGCUGGAGAUUUGGCCUGCUGAGACUACUGGGCUACUGUUGCUGCUGGGGGCUGCUGCAACGGGUCGGGUCAGGUAAGAUGGGUCGGGUCGGGUUGACCCGACUGUGAUAUUAUUUUUUUUUCUUUUUUCUUCUCUUUUUCUUAUUUCUUUCUCUUUUUCUUCUUUCUUUUUCUUCUUUUUCUUCCUUGCGCAGUCGACGGCGCUUCCUCCGCCUGGUGCAACGGCCGACAGUGGCGUGGUGGUCCUCUCCUCCUCUUCAUGUCCUCUUUUCUCCCUUCUUUUUUUCUUUUCGGUUGCUAUUUUUUCCUUCUUUUACUUGCUGUUUUUUUUAUAUUUUCCUUUGUUGUUUGGCUUGUUUGGGUUGUAGGUGAUGGUGGUGGAGGUGUCACGGUGGCGGUGCGACAGUGAUGAUUGCAGAAGGAGGCUUUGGGCUGCUGUUUUUUAAAUAUCUUGUUGCUAUUUUUUUCAAAAAAAUUUUCUUUGCUGCAAAAACCGAAUCCCCCUUUUUCUCAUUUUUUUUCUUUUUAAUCUCACCAAUUUGUCCUCUUCUUCUUUGUUUUCAGGUGGCAAUGGAGCAAUCAUAGCCUAGGGAGGCUGCUGGAGUAGCUAGGGGUGGGAGGAGCACGCUUGGCUGCCGAUUGGCUAAUUUGACAUGUCUAGAAGGACCAAACUGUAGAAGAUGCAAAAUUUCUGGGGUAAAAAUGCAAUUUUAGAAAAAUAUAGGGCCAAAAUAUAAUUUUUAGAAAUUUUAGGGGUUUGAAUGUAAUUUACAAAAUACAAUGGGUCAAGAUGCAAAUUUGGGAAAAGUUAGGGGUUAAAAUGUAAUUUUUGAAAAGUUUAGGGGCUAAAAUGUAAUAUAUAUAUAUAU
rnacentral:lncRNA from 1 species